UUUCCAGACUUAGCUAAUUUUUUAGCAUUUUCAGCCUUCGUCCGUUUUCACUCCGUUUUCGCUCGUUUUCGCUCGUUUGACCUCCAAUUUAUUUCAAAUCGAACCGAGACUCUCCAAACAUGUUUUCAUCAUCUUUUCAUCCACGUUAAUGCUGGAUUUAGUCCACGGUUCAACAUAGCCUUUCGGGUUCCGUUUUCGCACCCUAUGCGCACC
rnacentral:lncRNA from 1 species